CUGAGCCAAGGGUAGGACCCAGUUGGCUCUCAUAGGUCAGGUGCCCCGAAUGAAGCUCAAACGUCAUGCUGUUAACUCCCCGAACUCUUGGCAGAGUGCAGCUUUCUGUUUUGAAAGUAAUGGCCCCAUGUCUCUCAUGAACAAGUCCUGUUAGAGAUCAAAGCAAUCUUUCAUAACCUUGUUUUGAUGAGUUAAGGGAAAAUGAAGCAGAAACAUGAGGAUUAAGUGUCUCUUAAAACUCCCCUUGGGAUGCAAAUACUGGGAAGAAUGUGUUGGGCCAAACCAUGUGUCAGACUCCAAACAUGGAGAAGCAGAGCAAGGCUUCUGACAAAUUGAGGGGCCUGUGACCUACGCAAUGUCCCUGGCGGGGAGGACAGAGCAGAUCGCGAAUAAAGAGAUGACAAGAAUUCCACAAACAAUGGCAGUCGGUGGAACCUAAUAUGCAAGAGAGGAUUUGGGUGGUUCAAGGUGAAAUUAAAUCAUCUGUGUAGAUUCCCACAUCCCCAUCCUCGAAGCCGGUUGGAGAUGAUCUGAUCUCCCAACACUGCAGGGCUCAAGGCUGCCUGCGGCAAUUCCUGUGCCUUUUUAGCUCCAUCCAAAAUAAACCUCGCUCAAAACCUUUCUGGGAGAAGUGCUGUAACCUCUGCUCCAGGAGAGAUAAGUUUCAUGCUUGUUUGCUUUCUUGU